rnacentral:rRNA from 1 species
GAUGAACGCUGGCGGCGUGCCUAAUACAUGCAAGUCGAGCGAACAGACGAGGAGCUUGCUCCUCUGACGUUAGCGGCGGACGGGUGAGUAACACGUGGAUAACCUACCUAUAAGACUGGGAUAACUUCGGGAAACCGGAGCUAAUACCGGAUAAUAUAUUGAACCGCAUGGUUCAAUAGUGAAAGACGGUUUUGCUGUCACUUAUAGAUGGAUCCGCGCCGCAUUAGCUAGUUGGUAAGGUAACGGCUUACCAAGGCAACGAUGCGUAGCCGACCUGAGAGGUGGACCGGCCAACUGGGACCGGGGACACGUUCCAAACCCCAACGGAAGCAAGCAGUGGGGAACCUCCCGCAUGGGGCGAAAGCCUGACGGGGAACCGCGGCGUGAUUAAUAAGGUCUUUCGGUUCGUAAACCCCUGUAAUUAGGAAAGAACAAAGGGGUAAGUAACUAUGCAGGUCUUGACGGUACCAAAUCAGAAAGCCACGGCUAACUACGG